CAGCAGUAGCCACGGUAAUACGUAGGUGGCAAGCGUUGUCCGGAAUUAUUGGGCGUAAAGGGCUCGCAGGCGGUUUCUUAAGUCUGAUGUGAAAGCCCCCGGCUCAACCGGGGAGGGUCAUUGGAAACUGGGAAACCUGAGUGCAGAAGAGGAGAGUGGAAUUCCACGUGUAGCGGUGAAAUGCGUAGAGAUGUGGAGGAACACCAGUGGCGGAGGCGACUCUCUGGUCUGUAACUGACGCUGAGGAGCGAAAGCGUGGGGAGCGAACAGGAUUAGAUACCCCAGUAGUCCCUGUCUCUUAUAC
rnacentral:rRNA from 1 species